rnacentral:rRNA from 1 species
GAAUUUUGGACAAUGGGCGAAAGCCUGAUCCAGCAAUGCCGCGUGCAGGAUGAAGGCCUUCGGGUUGUAAACUGCUUUUGUACGGAACGAAAAGCGUUGGGUUACUACCCUGGAUUCAUGACGGGACCGUAAGAAUAAGCACCGCCUAACUACAGACCCGCAGCCGCGGUAAUCCGUAGGGUGCAACGGUUAAUCGGAAUUACUGGGCGUAAAGCGUGCGCAGGCGGUUUUGUAAGACAGAGGUGAAAUCCCCGGGCUCAACCUGGGAACUGCCUUUGUGACUGCAAGGCUAGAGUACGGCAGAGGGGGGUGGAAUUCCGCGUGUAGCAGUGAAAUGCGUAGAUAUGCGGAGGAACACCGAUGGCGAAGGCAACCCCCUGGGCCUGUACUGACGCUCAUGCACGAAAGCGUGGGGAGCAAACA